GACGAACGCUGGCGGCGUGCCUAAUACAUGCAAGUCGAGCGGACCGACGGGAGCUUGCUCCCUUAGGUCAGCGGCGGACGGGUGAGUAACACGUGGGUAACCUGCCUGUAAGACUGGGAUAACUCCGGGAAACCGGGGCUAAUACCGGAUGCUUGAUUGAACCGCAUGGUUCAAUCAUAAAAGGUGGCUUUUAGCUACCACUUGCAGAUGGACCCGCGGCGCAUUAGCUAGUUGGUGAGGUAACGGCUCACCAAGGCGACGAUGCGUAGCCGACCUGAGAGGGUGAUCGGCCACACUGGGACUGAGACACGGCCCAGACUCCUACGGGAGGCAGCAGUAGGGAAUCUUCCGCAAUGGACGAAAGUCUGACGGAGCAACGCCGCGUGAGUGAUGAAGGUUUUCGGAUCGUAAAACUCUGUUGUUAGGGAAGAACAAGUACCGUUCGAAUAGGGCGGUACCUUGACGGUACCUAACCAGAAAGCCACGGCUAACUACGUGCCAGCAGCCGCGGUAAUACGUAGGUGGCAAGCGUUGUCCGGAAUUAUUGGGCGUAAAGCGCGCGCAGGCGGUUUCUUAAGUCUGAUGUGAAAGCCCCCGGCUCAACCGGGGAGGGUCAUUGGAAACUGGGGAACUUGAGUGCAGAAGAGGAGAGUGGAAUUCCACGUGUAGCGGUGAAAUGCGUAGAGAUGUGGAGGAACACCAGUGGCGAAGGCGACUCUCUGGUCUGUAACUGACGCUGAGGCGC
rnacentral:rRNA from 1 species